UUAAUUGAGAGUUUGAUCCUGGCUCAGGACGAACGCUGGCGGCGCGCUUAACACAUGCAAGUCGAGCGAUGAAAUCUUGACAGAUCCCUUCGGGGUGAAGAUAAGAUGGAUUAGCGGCGGACGGGUGAGUAACACGUGAGUAACCUGCCUUAGACAUUGGGAUAGCCUCGGGAAACCGGGAUUAAUACCAAAUGAAAUCAUAGGUGCCCAUGCACUAAUGAUCAAAACUCCGGUGGUCUAAGAUGGACUCGCGUCCCAUUAGCUAGUUGGUGAGGUAACGGCCCACCAAGGCGACGAUGGGUAGCCGGCCUGAGAGGGUGAACGGCCACAUUGGAACUGAGAAACGGUCCAAACUCCUACGGGAGGCAGCAGUGGGGAAUAUUGCACAAUGGAGGGAACUCUGAUGCAGCGACGCCGCGUGAACGAUGAAGGCUUUCGAGUCGUAAAGUUCUUUUAUAUGGGAAGAUAAUGACGGUACCAUAAGAAAAAGCCCCGGCUAACUACGUGCCAGCAGCCGCGGUAAUACGUAGGGGGCUAGCGUUGUCCGGAAUCACUGGGCGUAAAGGGUUCGCAGGCGGAAAUGCAAGUCAGAUGUAAAACGCAGUAGCUUAACUACUGUAAGCAUUUGAAACUGCAUAUCUUGAGAAGAGUAGAAGUAAGUGGAAUUUUUAGUGUAGCGGUGAAAUGCGUAGAUAUUAAAAAGAAUACCGGUGGCGAAGGCGACUUACUGGGCUCAUUCUGACGCUGAGGAACGAAAGCGUGGGUAGCAAACAGGAUUAGAUACCCUGGUAGUCCACGCUGUAAACGAUGAGUGCUAGGUAUCGGAAUAAUUCGGUGCCGCAGUUAACACAUUAAGCACUCCG
rnacentral:rRNA from 1 species